UACAGAGGUCCCGAGCGUUGUUCGGAUUCACUGGGCGUAAAGGGUGCGUAGGCGGUCGGGUAAGUCUGAUGUGAAAUCUCACAGCUUAACUGUGAAACUGCAUUGGAUACUAUUCGGCUUGAGAGUUGGAGGGGGGACUGGAAUUCUUGGUGUAGCAGUGAAAUGCGUAGAUAUCAAGAGGAACGCCAGUGGCGAAGGCGGCCUUCUGGACCAAUACUGACGCUCAUGCACGAAAGCGUGGGGAGCAAACAGG
rnacentral:rRNA from 1 species